UACGUAGGGUGCGAGCGUUAAUCGGAAUUACUGGGCGUAAAGCGUGCGCAGGCGGUUUCGCAAGUCAGACGUGAAAUCCCCGGGCUUAACCUGGGAAUGGCGUUUGAAACUACGGAGCUGGAGUGUGGCAGAGGGAGGUAGAAUUCCACGUGUAGCGGUGAAAUGCGUAGAUAUCAGGAGGAACACCGGUGGCGAAGGCGGCUAUCUGGACAGAGUCUGACGCUGAGGCGCGAAAGCUAGGGGAGCAAACAGG
rnacentral:rRNA from 1 species